rnacentral:lncRNA from 1 species
UGGGCAGCCUUUUCAGACUGUCUCUGCCCAGAAUGUCAGGAGAGGCCACAGUCUUGGCCUACCAUGCUCCAGAAGAACAGGAAGGACUUCUAGUUGUCAAGGUUGAAGAAGAAAAUUAUGUUUUGGACCAGGACUUUGGCCUUCAGGAAAACCCCUGGAGCCAAGAGAAAUGUUCUGGCAGGAAAUGACAUCCACAGGAGCACUGAAGUCUCUGUCUCUGAAUAGCCCGGUGCAGCCCUUAGAGAACCAGUGCAAGACUGAGACUCAGGAGUCCCAGGCUUUCCAGGAGAGAGGUGAGAAGCCCCAGUCCAUGUGGGGUUGAGGAUGGAGGUGAGAGCUAUCAACUGUGGCACGGUUCAUUUUCUUAACGACAGCCACUUGUGGCUAUCACUAAGUAUUGUGGAAAGGCUUCUUUGCCUAGAAAUAUUCUUCCUUAGGCUCUGCCUAGAAUCUGAAAUUCCAGUAUCAUUUGUAACUUUGGGUUAAGAAUUAAAGUCUUUAGUAAAAUUC